rnacentral:rRNA from 1 species
CAGCAGCCGCGGUAACACGUAGGGGGCAAGCGUUGUCCGGAAUUACUGGGCGUAAAGAGCGCGUAGGUGGUUAAGUAAGUCAGGUGUGAAAGGCCAGGGCUCAACCUUGGGAUUGCACUUGAAACUGUUUAACUUGAGGGCAGGAGAGGUAAGUGGAAUUCCUGGUGUAGCGGUGAAAUGCGUAGAUAUCAGGAGGAACACCAGUGGCGAAGGCGACUUACUGGCCUGGCUCUGACACUGAGGCGCGAAAGCGUGGGUAGCGAACAGGAUUAGAUACCCUGGUAGUCCACGCUGUAAACGAUGGGUACUAGGUGUAGGAGGUAUCGACCCCUUCUGUGCCGCAGCAAACGCAUUAAGUACCCCGCCUGGGGACUACGGCCGCAAGGCUGAAACUCAAAGGAAUUGACGGGGGCCCGCACAAGCGGUGGAGUAUGUGGUUUAAUUCGACGCUACGCGAAGAACCUUACCGGGGCUUGACAUCCCGUGCUAUCUGGUGAAAGCCAGAGUUCCCUAUGGGACGCGGAGACAGGAGGUGCAUGGCC